rnacentral:rRNA from 1 species
UGGGGGAUAUUGCACUAUGGGCGAAAGCCUGAUGCAGCGACGCCGCGUGGGGGAUGAAGGCCUUCGGGUUGUAAACUUCUUUUGCUCUGAACAAGGGAUGCUAAUGGGUGUGUUGGGGGUAGGGGAUGAUUAGCGCGGGCUAACUACGUGCCAGCAGCCGCGGUAAUACGUAGGGCGCGAGCGUUGUCCGGAAUUAUUGGGCGUAAAGGGCUUGUAGGUGGCGGGUUGAGUCUGUCGUGGAAGCACAUGGCUUAACUGUGGGUUUGCGGUGGGUACGGGAUUGCUUGAGUACAGUAGGGGAGGCUGGAAUUCCUGGUGUAGCGGUGGAGUGCGCAGAUAUCAGGAGGAAUACCAGUGGCGACGGCGGGUCUCUGGGCUGUUACUGACACUGAGGAGCGAAAGCAUGGGGAGCGAACAGG